GAUAAAGAGGAGAGAGUCAAAGAUGCUGAUUGGUUCAGUUAGAAACCUACCAAGUUAAAAUUAAUCCAACAUCAAACUAAUAGGGAAUCAUUAAGAAUUAAAGUCACUGCCAAGGAAAUCCUAGAUCCAUGCAAAAUCAAUUAAAACACAAUACUGCCUGACCUUUACAGCUUUAGGUCUAGCAGUCAAAUUGGUCAAUAUAUCAAAAAUUUUUUACUGAAUAUGGAAAAAGAGCAAAAAUAUCUCCAAGUCUUGAAACACUCCAAAUUCAGAGGCAGAGAAAGUGAGUUUUCAGUUCAAAAGUUCUUUUACUACCAUUUGCCUAACUUAAAAUUAUGGACAUAGAAAUUUUUACAGCAAUAGAAAUUUUUAUAACAACUUUCCCUUUUUCCACAAAUAUGAACUUGGUUUGCUUUAGUGUUACCAUUGCCAUGAUCUUUAGAAGCCUUUAGUCAUGCUUCAAUGUGCAUGACUACUCAUGAAAAAACACAUCAUAACCCCCAUAUAGGAUGUGCACCCCAAACGGUCAUUUAUACCGUCCUGACGUCUCUAUCUCUAAAGACUUCAUUCAGAAAUUUCUCAUCAUGGCUACCUUUUCUUAGCAUGCAUGGUCAGAUGCUUAUCCCCUCUCAAAUCAAACAAAUAAAUAAAAGAGCACUAGUUGGAUAAUAUCCCAACGUAAGGUGAAUGAGUGUUGCACAAGCUGGAAAGGAUGAGAAAACAGCCACUGCAUGCAAAAAAAGCUGCAGAAUGAAUAUAAGAUUCAAUUCAGGGCUCCUUUCCUCGGAUCCUACUUCAGGCUACAUAUUGCAGCUACAGAGAAAAGGAAAUUAGAGGCAUAAUUAUACUUUAUCCAACUGACAUGCAUUGUAUUAAAGUAUUUGAGUAAGUCAUUAAGGAAUUUCUGAGUGUCUCAGAAUUAUUUUCUUUA
rnacentral:misc_RNA from 1 species